rnacentral:piRNA from 6 species
CCGCGGCCCGGGUUCGAUUCCCGGUCAGGG